UGUAUUGUGGCUCAGGGUAGAGCACUUGCCUAGCACGUGCAAGAUGCUGGGUUCAAUUCUCAGCACCACAU
rnacentral:tRNA from 1 species